rnacentral:rRNA from 2 species
GUGCCUAUACAUGCAAGUCGAGCGAACAGAUGAGAAGCUUGCUUCUCUGAUGUUAGCGGCGGACGGGUGAGUAACACGUGGGUAACCUACCUAUAAGACUGGGAUAACUCCGGGAAACCGGGGCUAAUACCGGAUAAUAUUUUGAACCGCAUGGUUCAAUAGUGAAAGACGGUUUCGGCUGUCACUUAUAGAUGGACCCGCGCCGUAUUAGCUAGUUGGUAAGGUAACGGCUUACCAAGGCGACGAUACGUAGCCGACCUGAGAGGGUGAUCGGCCACACUGGAACUGAGACACGGUCCAGACUCCUACGGGAGGCAGCAGUAGGGAAUCUUCCGCAAUGGGCGAAAGCCUGACGGAGCAACGCCGCGUGAGUGAUGAAGGUCUUCGGAUCGUAAAACUCUGUUGUUAGGGAAGAACAAAUUUGUUAGUAACUGAACAAGUCUUGACGGUACCUAACCAGAAAGCCACGGCUAACUACGUGCCAGCAGCCGCGGUAAUACGUAGGUGGCAAGCGUUAUCCGGAAUUAUUGGGCGUAAAGCGCGCGUAGGCGGUUUCUUAAGUCUGAUGUGAAAGCCCACGGCUCAACCGUGGAGGGUCAUUGGAAACUGGGAAACUUGAGUGCAGAAGAGGAGAGUGGAAUUCCAUGUGUAGCGGUGAAAUGCGCAGAGAUAUGGAGGAACACCAGUGGCGAAGGCGGCUCUCUGGUCUGUAACUGACGCUGAUGUGCGAAAGCGUGGGGAUCAAACAGGAUUAGAUACCCUGGUAGUCCACGCCGUAAACGAUGAGUGCUAAGUGU